rnacentral:lncRNA from 1 species
GGCAUUCCCUGUCACAAGGAGGCUUUGUGGAUAAAAAGGCAAACUGCUUUUCUUGGAGGGGCCGGAUACAGAGAGCCUCCAUGUGAACCUUUAGCACAUUUGGAAAUUGUUGGCAACAUGCUUCAUUUCAUUUUGGAAGCAAGAGAUGGCUGAACAAUACACUGGAAGGUGUGUUACUCGUGUGUGUCCCAGGCAUUGCAUCAUCUUUUCCCUCACCUGUCUCCAAGGAUCUGUCCUUUGUAAAUCGCUGUGGUCAUCAGUCUUCACAUAUUGAACAGACCUUGGAGCUACUCCAUGGUGGAUUACAACUGAUUUCCCAUGUUUACUGGAAUGCCAUUGGGAAUGGGGCUCAUCUUUGAAAGGAGUUCUAUUAACCAAGUGCCUGGAGGCCUGGGAUCUACGGCUCAGAAUUCCCGACAUCAGAAUUGUUGUGUGGAGUCAGUACUCACAGGACAUCUGGAAAGCAGAAGAGAAACAGAAGCCAUUUUAUCAGUCCUUUGAUAGCAGCAAGCAGAUUCACGGACUCUGGCAGAACACAUCUUUUGGUUGUUUUCACUCAAAUCACCUGCUUUGAUGCUGAGCCUUGCAAUCAUGAUCAGUUACUCCCUGGGUUCCUACAGCUUCCUAACCCCUCAGCUGGCUGCAAACUCAGACCCAGCAGUGAACCACGCAGACCUCCACGCUUCCUGACAGUCUUCCCGACAACUCCGUAAAUGCUUAAUUCCCUUCACUGAAACCCCUUCGCAGUUUAAAAUACCUACAGUCUUCUGUUUUCCUGAACAGCCUUGACUGAUACAAACAGAAACCCUGAUGCCAAGUCCUACAACUGCCAUCAUGUAAACAAGUCUGCAGCGAUAUUCCAACACGCUGAGGAUGCUGCGAUGGAAAGAUACCAGGUUCCGUAGGACACUAUCGAGCCAGCGCUCCAGCUCUAGACUACGUUAUAGUCUCACUGCUAUUUUUGUGAAGAAAAAUCAAAUAUAUUUGGUCAGCCAGAUUAGUCAAGUUUUCACGUAUUUUUAGCCAAAGCAUUCUUAAUGUUUACACUCAGAUUCUCAGCUGUAAAAUGGGGCUACAAUAAAGUCUCGUAGGUACAACAAAUGCAGUGUGUUUGGCAUAUAGUGAUCGCUUCAAUGUUAGUGAUUAAUAUUGAAUCAUUUUACACAUCUUCAAAUUAAAAAUAAGAUGUAUCUCUUCCUUGGAAUGAAAUUUCCAAGAAGGAGCACUCAUAUAAAUAAAAUAGGCUUUUCUAAAUUUGAGCCUGAAGAUUCAGUUAAAGUAGUGAAUAGCAAGUGAUAGUAUAUUUGGAUGACUACUUUCUAUUUCAUUGACAAAUGGAAUUAGUGGGAGCAUUAUGUGGAGACCCAUGUGUGACGUGCACACCGUAUCUGAAAAACAUAAGGAAGAGAUUGGGCUUGAGAUAGGCCGAUGCAAUGUAAGGAAAAACAAACUUUAAUGUUAUGGGUAUAAUUUUUUCCUCCUAAUGGAAUGUUCUAUAAAUAUUUCUCAUUUUAUAAUAACUUACUUUAAAUAGGGUGGCCAUUUAUAAGUGCUCUGCUGGAAACAAACAAAACAAAACAAAAACAAUGUUGAUUAUAUCUCAUCAGCAGAGGAUAACUGGGAAGUCAUAUACUCCUUACCUUUCAUGUAACCAAAACUAUAGUCAGUGCUUUGGCUGAAAAAAAUCUGUUUUCCUCACCCAGUGGUUUUACACAUUUAGUGUCUUUAAUAUGGAAAGG